UGAUCAUGGCUCAGGAUGAACGCUAGCGGCAGGCCUAACACAUGCAAGUCGAGGGGUAGAGAUUAGCUUGCUAAUCUUGAGACCGGCGCACGGGUGCGUAACGCGUAUGCAACCUACCUUUUACAAAGGGAUAGCCCGGAGAAAUUCGGAUUAAUACCUUAUAGUAUUGUUGAUAAUCAUUUAUUAACAAUUAAAGUUUCGGCGGUAAAAGAUGGGCAUGCGUCCUAUUAGCUAGAUGGAGUGGUAACGGCACCCCAUGGCAACGAUAGGUAGGGGUCCUGAGAGGGAGAUCCCCCACACUGGUACUGAGACACGGACCAGACUCCUACGGGAGGCAGCAGUGAGGAAUAUUGGACAAUGGACGCAAGUCUGAUCCAGCCAUGCCGCGUGCAGGAAGACGGCCCUAUGGGUUGUAAACUGCUUUUAUACAAGAAGAAUAAGACUUACGUGUAAGUUGAUGACGGUAUUGUAUGAAUAAGCACCGGCUAACUCCGUGC
rnacentral:rRNA from 1 species